rnacentral:rRNA from 1 species
UAGGGAAUCUUCCACAAUGGACGCAAGUCUGAUGGAGCAACGCCGCGUGAGUGAAGAAGGCUUUCGGGUCGUAAAACUCUGUUGUUGGAGAAGAAUGGUCGGCAGAGUAACUGUUGUCGGCGUGACGGUAUCCAACCAGAAAGCCACGGCUAACUACGUGCCAGCAGCCGCGGUAAUACGUAGGUGGCAAGCGUUAUCCGGAUUUAUUGGGCGUAAAGCGAGCGCAGGCGGUUUUUUAAGUCUGAUGUGAAAGCCCUCGGCUUAACCGAGGAAGUGCAUCGGAAACUGGGAAACUUGAGUGCAGAAGAGGACAGUGGAACUCCAUGUGUAGCGGUGAAAUGCGUAGAUAUAUGGAAGAACACCAGUGGCGAAGGCGGCUGUCUGGUCUGUAACUGACGCUGAGGCUCGAAAGCAUGGGUAGCGAACAGGAUUAGAUACCCUUGGUAGUCCAUGCCG